AGAGUUUGAUCAUGGCUCAGAUUGAACGCUGGCGGCAGGCCUAACACAUGCAAGUCGAACGGUAACAGGAAGCAGCUUGCUGCUUCGCUGACGAGUGGCGGACGGGUGAGUAAUGUCUGGGAAACUGCCUGAUGGAGGGGGAUAACUACUGGAAACGGUGGCUAAUACCGCAUAACGUCGCAGGACCAAAGAGGGGGACCUUCGGGCCUCUUGCCAUCAGAUGUGCCCAGAUGGGAUUAGCUUGUUGGUGAGGUAACGGCUCACCAAGGCGACGAUCCCUAGCUGGUCUGAGAGGAUGACCAGCCACACUGGAACUGAGACACGGUCCAGACUCCUACGGGAGGCAGCAGUGGGGGAAUAUUGCACAAUGGGCGCAAGCCUGAUGCAGCCAUGCCGCGUGUAUGAAGAAGGCCUUCGGGUUGUAAAGUACUUUCAGCGGGGAGGAAGGUGUUGUGGUUAAUAACCACAGCAAUUGACGUUACCCGCAGAAGAAGCACCGGCUAACUCCGUGCCAGCAGCCGCGGUAAUACGGAGGGUGCAAGCGUUAAUCGGAAUUACUGGGCGUAAAGCGCACGCAGGCGGUCUGUCAAGUCGGAUGUGAAAUCCCCGGGCUCAACCUGGGAACUGCAUUCGAAACUGGCAGGCUUGAGUCUUGUAGAGGGGGGUAGAAUUCCAGGUGUAGCGGUGAAAUGCGUAGAGAUCUGGAGGAAUACCGGUGGCGAAGGCGGCCCCCUGGACAAAGACUGACGCUCAGGUGCGAAAGCGUGGGGAGCAAACAGGAUUAGAUACCCUGGUAGUCCACGCCGUAAACGAUGUCUACUUGGAGGUUGUGCCCUUGAGGCGUGGCUUCCGGAGCUAACGCGUUAAGUAGACCGCCUGGGGAGUACGGCCGCAAGGUUAAAACUCAAAUGAAUUGACGGGGGCCCGCACAAAGCGGUGGAGCAUGUGGUUUAAUUCGAUGCAACGCGAAGAACCUUACCUGGUCUUGACAUCCACAGAACCCUGUAGAGAUACGGGGGUGCCUUCGGGAGCUGUGAGACAGGUGCUGCAUGGCUGUCGUCAGCUCGUGUUGUGAAAUGUUGGGUUAAGUCCCGCAACGAGCGCAACCCUUAUCCUUUGUUGCCAGCGGUCCGGCCGGGAACUCAAAGGAGACUGCCAGUGAUAAACUGGAGGAAGGUGGGGAUGACGUCAAGUCAUCAUGGCCCUUACGACCAGGGCUACACACGUGCUACAAUGGCGCAUACAAAGAGAAGCGACCUCGCGAGAGCAAGCGGACCUCAUAAAGUGCGUCGUAGUCCGGACUGGAGUCUGCAACUCGACUCCAUGAAGUCGGAAUCGCUAGUAAUCGUGGAUCAGAAUGCCACGGUGAAUACGUUCCCGGGCCUUGUACACACCGCCCGUCACACCAUGGGAGUGGGUUGCAAAAGAAGUAGGUAGCUUAACCUUCGGGAGGGCGCUUACCACUUUGUGAUUCAUGACUGGGGUGAAGUCGUAACAAGGUAACCGUAGGGGAACCUGCGGUUGGAUCACCU
rnacentral:rRNA from 1 species